AUUGGACACCACCAAGAGGGCUUGGGUUGUCAGUCCUUCCUGCUCUGACAAACUGCAGUGUGUGUGUGGCUCUGGGGACUUAUAAUUUCAUUCCAGAUUUCAUUUUCAGACACCUAUGCUGGAUGAAUCUCAGCCUGCAACUGGAACAUUUUGGAAAGCAAAUGUAGGAAGUGAGCACAGCAGACUGUGUGAGGAGCAGACAUUUAUAGGACAACCUUCCAUAAUCACCAGGCUUAUUUGUUGCACCUGUCUGUGUCUCCCUAACUCCAGAAAUUAGAGCUGAAAUCCCCGGCUACAUCUGCUUUGGCCAGAGAAGAGCCUCAGUCAAAGGCCACAUUGCUCCUGCUGAACUUGAGGGAUGCCAACAAUGGUGCCAGGUUUGCCACAUACUGAUAAUGACAGCCCUGCCUGGUGCCCAAAGCAGCCAGAGCACCCGGCCUCCUCUUCCUCUGCAAACCAACAUUUCCCUCGGCUGGGAGAGGUAAGAGCCAUCGGAGCUGGUGGCUGAAAAUCAGAGAAUGAAGUGCUGCACAGCGGGCCUGUGGGCUGGUGUGUGGUGGAGAAGAGGAAGUUCAGAACAUUAGGAAAUGUUUUAGAUACUUUUAAAAUUGUUAAAUGUAGCAUGUAUGCACUUCUUGUUUCCACACUGUCUCAGGUCCUGGCUGAGGUUGGGACAUCUCCCAGCACAUCUCUGCCUGAGCCUCCAGACAUCUGGGUGAGGCACAAGGGCAGCAGACAAAGACCAAAGGACUUUCUGAGCCUCAUGUUCGGAUGGAGGAGGUAACGAAAGGGAAGCUGUGACCUGGCCCUGAAUCAAAUACUUCACAACAGACAGCAUUAGAAAAUAAAAUAAAUUCCAG
rnacentral:lncRNA from 1 species